GCCGCAUGAUCUACUUCAAGCCAAGCGUCCGAAGCUUGGACGGGGUGCAGAACAUCAUCCCUCCUGUUCACCGACUUAAUUGGAGGAAGAUGCUUGGUCCGGCCACCGCCGUCCACCUCCCACUCAGCCCACCCUCUCUCAUCGUCUCGCCUCUCCUCCCGCUCCGAUGCCCCGUACCUAGGAACGCCUUCCGCCCCCGCACCGCUGCCGCCCGCCCCCUCGCCUCCGCCGCCCAGCCCCCCGAUCUUAGCGCUGCGGCUGCCGAGGUGGACAUGUUCUGCGGCCGCGACGGCGUCUGGACCGCCCGCCAGCAGACGGUGGUGGUCCUCUGGGACCUCGAUAACAAGCCCCCCCGCGGGCCCCCUUACGAGGCCGCCGUCGCCCUCCGCCGCGCUGCCGAGCUCUUCGGACGCGUCGUCGAGGUCUCCGCCUACGCCAACCGCCACGCCUUCGUCCACCUCCCCCAGUGGGUCCUCGAGCAGCGCCGUGAGCGCCAUCGCCUGAACGUCCUCGAGCGCAAGGGCCUCGUCGCCCCUGCCGAAUCCUACACCUGCGGCGUCUGUGGCCGGAAGUGCCGAACCAACCUGGAUCUCAAGAAGCACUUCCGCCAGCUCCAUGUGCGUGAGCGCCAGAAGAAGCUGGACCGCAUGCGCUCCCUCAAGGGCAAGAAGCGGCAGAGGUACCGCGAGAGGUUCAUCGCUGGGAACCACAAGUACGAGGAUGCCGCCCGGACUCUGCUCACCCCCAAGACAGGGUAUGGCCUUGCUUCGGAGCUUCGGCGGGCAGGAGUCUUCGUCAGGACGGUCGCCGACAAGCCCCAGGCUGCAGACUCGGCGGUCAAAAGGCAGAUGCUGCAUUCUAUGACACGGGGGAUUGAUUGGCUGUUUCUGGUGUCCGACGACUCGGAUUUUUCUGACAUGAUCAGGAGGGCGAGGGAGGCUGACCUGAGGACGGUGGUGGUCGGGGAUGGUCGGACGGCACUGGGGCGGCAGGCUGACAUAUGGGUUCCUUGGGUGCGGGUGGAAAAUGGGGAGGUGGGCAAAGAGUUGUUGCAGUCAGGGUGGGGGGCACAAUUCUUGGAUGGGGAGGAGGCGAAUAGUUAUUACGAUGCUGAUGACAACAUGGAAGGAUUAUUUGCAUCUGCUGGUUUCUAUGAGGAUGGUGAAUUGCAGGAUUUAGACGUGGUAAUUGAUGAGAUUGUCAUUGGGAAUUCCAGAUUGGGUGAUCUUGAGAUUUCAGCAUUUUCGGAGGAGGAGGUUGUCGGUGAAGGAACUUUUGGGGAGGAAUUUGGAUAUGAGGGGAUUCAAAGCUUUGGAUCACCAACUCCCAACAAUGAAUUGCUAUGGGAUAGCGAGGCAGAGGAGGAGGAUCCAUACAUUUGAGUGCCAAAAGGUUUUGUUCAGCGCAGGAAUCCUGUGCAUGAUUCUGAAAUAUGAAGUUGAAAAUUGCCCGACUUGGUUGAGCUUGGUGAGAGACCACCUCGAAGCUAAUAAUCUCUAAUCUGUUUCAAGUGUGCAUACGCUAAGCAAGAAACUCUUGUUCCAUCGAAUGAGACAUUGAAUAUGGGAGAAGAGCAAGCAAGCGGAAAAGGAAGACUGACAAAGAAAAGAGGAGAAAGAAGAAGAAGAGCAUAUAUUCACAUUUCCACUAUUUAAUGGGCCGAGGAGAGGAAGAUGAUAAUGGUAUCUGUUGCCGUGAUUAAAUAUGGAAUUUUUUUUUUUUUCUGAAACAUCAUUAUAUAGAUAGUUGGGCUAUCAUCUUCAAAAAUUCUUUGAAUGAGAUUUCGUGUCCUAAAUCUAUCUCAUUAUGCUUUUAUCGGAUGA